rnacentral:lncRNA from 1 species
UUUGGUUGGUUUUGAAACUCUUAUUAGCUAACUAGUAUAUUUUGGUUAGAAUCUUACUAAAUGACUGAAAAAAAUGAUGCAUGACUGGUAUAUUUUGAUUGUCCUUGAUGGAACUCUUACUAGACUGGUUUUUGAAACUCUCACUAGAUUGGUUUUGGAACUUUUACUAGUUAGUUUAUGUUGUAUUAAUUGAAUAAAUUUUGGACUUUG